GACAGAGGGUGCAAACGUUGCUCGGAAUCACUGGGCGUAAAGGGCGUGUAGGCGGGAAGGAAAGUCAGAUGUGAAAUCCCUGGGCUCAACCCAGGAACUGCAUUUGAAACUCCCUUUCUUGAGUGUCGGAGAGGAAAGCGGAAUUCCUGGUGUAGAGGUGAAAUUCGUAGAUAUCAGGAGGAACACCGGUGGCGAAGGCGGCUUUCUGGACGACAACUGACGCUGAGACGCGAAAGCGUGGGAGCAAACAGG
rnacentral:rRNA from 1 species